AACGCACAUUGCGCCCGGCGGCAUUCCGCCGGGCAUGCCUGUUCGAGCGUCAUUUCACUCUCAAGCUCCGCUUGGUCUUGGGGGCUGCCGUCGGCACCUCCGCAACCAGUUGGCGGGACCCGCAGCCUGCGACGAGCAAAUUCGUCGGCGGGUCCAGGGCCCUCGCCAGAUGACGACCCCUCGAGCUUGACCUCGGAUCAGGUAGGGAUACCCGCUGAACUUAA
rnacentral:misc_RNA from 1 species